rnacentral:rRNA from 1 species
AGAGCGAACGCUGGCGGCAGGCUUAACACAUGCAAGUCGAGCGCCCCGCAAGGGGAGCGGCAGACGGGAGAGUAACACGUGGGAACGUACCUUUCGGUUCGGAACAACCCAGGGAAACUUGGGCUAAUACCGGAUACGUCCGUAAGGAGAAAGAUUUAUCGCCGAAAGAUCGGCCCGCGUCUGAUUAGCUAGUUGGUGAGGUAACGGCUCACCAAGGCGACGAUCAGUAGCUGGUCUGAGAGGAUGAUCAGCCUCACUGGGACUGAGACACGGCCCAGACUCCUACGGGAGGCAGCAGUGGGGAAUAUUGGACAAUGGGCGCAAGCCUGAUCCAGCCAUGCCGCGUGGGUGAUGAAGGCCCUAGGGUUGUAAAGGCCCUUUCGGGCGGGAAGAUAAUGACGGUACCCGCAGAAGAAGCCCGGCUAACUUCGUGCCAGCAGCCGC